AAAUAGACCACCGCUGAAGAUGCCCUUAACGAUUCUAUCGGUAGCUGAUAACUAUCGAUACUGUCGAUAAUUAUCGAUAAGUUUCCCAUGUUAAGAAUCGUUUUGGGUUUCAGAGUUUGAUCAUUUCCAAUGCAAUGGAAGGAUGUAGCAGAUACUCGUCUCCUUAUACCUACCUUCAAAUAAACUUACAAGAGCAAUCAGGUUCAAUAGACUUUCCUCCUCCAUCAUUUAGUUUUGAGGAAUUGAACUUUUAUCAUCAUUAUCAACCACUUCUCGAAUACGAGAAAGGUGGUCAUGAGAACAAUGUUCCCGAGUUUUUCACGAAAUCGCAUAAAAUAGAUUCAUCAUGCAGCAACCGCAACAACGGCAGAAUCAAUGAAAAAGAAAAAGAAUCGGGUUUAGUAAAGUAUUCUGUGGAAGAUUACGAAAAACAUAUGACAACAAAGGCACUCAGUCGAGCUAGACACACAUUACAACAAAGGAUUAAACGACAAAAUGAAAGUGCCGAACAAAAAGCUAUUCGCAGGCAACGCAAUGCUGAACUAAACAGAAAAAGGCGUAUGAACAAAGAGGAUAUGCGUGUUGCAAUGGAAAAAAUAAAAAACCGUUUGAGACAGAGAUUAAAACGAGAAAUAGAUCGCAUGCUGCGAACUCGGCAGCAGAGGGAAGAUUUUCUACGUGAAACUUUCGAUCAGAUGAGAACUGUGUUUUCUCAUUUAGAUAUGAUCCAGUUCCAAGACAGAAUAUCGAAUGUGCUACAGGAAAUUUCCAAAUAAAAAACAUUAAUACCGUAGAUUUUUUGUAGUAAGUUGUGCAGCAUUUAUGAACAUUCAGUAUUAGGAGUAAUCUUCUACUAUAUAAAAAUGGAAUUCCAUAACGCUUGAUCUUCUUCAUAUUAUUCCCUCCGUCUCUGAGCUCUAAGCGUUCUAAAUCCAAAAGUUGUGAAGUGGUUGUGACAUGUAGGUUUUUUUAUUCGAAAAUGUUCAGGAAAAUGUGUUUUUAUUCGUUGAUGUUCAGGAAAGAUAUAUGAGAAAAAUAACAGUCACAUUAUUGCACCAGAUACCAUAUAUAUGUCGAGUGAAUUCAUCCGAGCGAUCACGUCUAUGUUUCGAGUACCAAUAGUUCUUGGUUCGUAUACACAUCUUCAUCUCCUGAUCGGCCCACGGCUUUGAGUGUGUACAAUUUGCUGGUUUUAUUUUGAUGUGUGUGGACGCUCGUGAGACACCUUCCUGGAUACCAGAGAUAAAAGAAAUAUAAUUCUCUCAACAUCUCUCCAGCAGCAUGUUGAUAUUUGGUUU